rnacentral:rRNA from 1 species
CUACGGGCUGCUGCAGUGGGGAAUUUUGGACAAUGGGCGCAAGCCUGAUCCAGCCAUGCCGCGUGAGUGAAGAAGGCCUUCGGGUUGUAAAGCUCUUUCAGGUGGGAAGAAACGGUUAAUGUUAAUAGCAUUGACUACUGACGGUACCACCAGAAGAAGCACCGGCUAACUACGUGCCAGCAGCCGCGGUAAUACGUAGGGUGCGAGCGUUAAUCGGAAUUACUGGGCGUAAAGGGUGCGCAGGCGGUUUUGUAAGCCAGAUGUGAAAUCCCCGGGCUCAACCUGGGAACUGCAUUUGGGACUGCAAGGCUAGAGUACGGCAGAGGGGGGUAGAAUUCCACGUGUAGCAGGGAAAUGCGUAGAUAUGUGGAGGAAUACCGAUGGCGAAGGCAGCCCCCUGGGUCGAUACUGACGCUCAGGCACGAAAGCGUGGGGAGCAAACAGGAUUAGAUACCCUAGUAGUC